GCUGGACAUGGUGGUGCAUGCCUGUAGUCCCAGCUACUUGGGAGGCUGAGACAUGAGAAUCACUUGAGCCCAGGGAGCUGAGGUUGCAGUGAGCCGAGAUUGCACCACUGCACUCCAGCCUGGACAACAGAGUGAGACUCUGUCUCAA
ensembl:misc_RNA Metazoa_SRP Metazoan signal recognition particle RNA